rnacentral:rRNA from 1 species
CGGACGGGUGAGUAAUGUCUGGGAAACUGCCCGAUGGAGGGGGAUAACUACUGGAAACGGUAGCUAAUACCGCAUAACGUCGCAAGACCAAAGAGGGGGACCUUCGGGCCUCGCGCCAUCAGAUGAACCCAUAUGGGAUUAGCUAGUAGGUGAGGUAACGGCUUACCUAGGCGACGAUCCCUAGCUGGUCUGAGAGGAUGAUCAGCCACACUGGGACUGAGACACGGUCCAG